CGGAGGAUCCAAGCGUUAUCCGGAAUCAUUGGGUUUAAAGGGUCCGUAGGCGGUUUAGUAAGCCAGUGGUGAAAGCCCAUCGCUCAACGGUGGAACGGCCAUUGAUACUGCUAGACUUGAAUUAUUAGGAAGUAACUAGAAUAUGUAGUGUAGCGGUGAAAUGCUUAGAGAUUACAUGGAAUACCAAUUGCGAAGGCAGGUUACUACUAAUGGAUUGACGCUGAUGGACGAAAGCGUGGGUAGCGAACAGGAUUAGAUACCCUGGUAGUCCACGCCGUAAACGAUGGAUACUAGCUGUUGGGAGCGAUCUCAGUGGCUAAGCGAAAGUGAUAAGUAUCCCACCUGGGGAGUACGUUCGCAAGAAUG
rnacentral:rRNA from 1 species